rnacentral:rRNA from 1 species
CAUGUCUGUACGUUUUAUAUGUAAAGUCUGACCUGCCCACUGACUUGUUAAAGGGCCGCGGUAUUUUGACCGUGCGAAGGUAGCAUAAUCAGUAGCCUUUUAAUUUGGGGCUGGAAUGAAUGGUUGGAUGAGGUACAAGCUGUCUCUAUUCUAAAAUAUAAUUUAACUUUUAAGUGAAAAGGCUUAAAUUAUAAGGAGGGACGAUAAGACCCUAUAAAACUUUAUAUGAGUAUUCCUAGCUUUAAAAUUUGGUUUAACUUCGGUUGUGUAAGCUUAUAUUUUGUUGGGGAGACAGGAACAUAAUCCUAACUGUUCAUCGGAUCUAAUAUUUAUAAAUAGAAUAUGAUCCCUUCUUAGGGAUUAGAAGAAUAAGUUACUUUAGGGAUAACAGUGUGAUUUCUCUUGAGAGUUCUUAUCGACAGAGUUAGUUGCAACCUCGAUGUUGAAUUAAAAUUUUAGAAAGGUGAAGCAGCUUUUAUUGUGGGUCUGUU